UAUCUGCAGUCGAGCGCAGGAAGNCGUCUCAACCCUUCGGGGGGACGACGGUGGAAUGGAGCGGCGAANGGGUAAGUAACACGUAAAGAACCUGCCCAUAGGUCGGGAAUACCCACAAGAAAUCGGGGCUAAUACCGGAGGUGUCAUCGGCCCGCAGGGUCCGUUAAUGAAAGGCGCUCCGGCGUCGCCCAKGGAUGGCUUUGCGGUGCAUUAGCUAGUUGGGGGGGUAACGGCCCCCCAAGGCAACAAUGCUUACCCAACCUGAGAGGGUAAUCGCCACCCUGGGACUGAGACCCCGCCCAAACUUCCUACGGAAGGCAGCAGUAGGGAUUCUCCCACAAUGGCCGAAAUUCUGAUGAAGCACCGCCGCUUGACCGAUAAAGGUUUUCGGGUCGAAAGGUUUUUUUGUAAGGGAUGAUUAAG
rnacentral:rRNA from 1 species